AAAACUAAAACUAAACUAAAGUAUUAAAUUACUAUUUUAAAAAAUUAAAA
rnacentral:tRNA from 1 species